rnacentral:rRNA from 1 species
AUUGAACGCUGGCGGCAUGCCUUACACAUGCAAGUCGAACGGCAGCACGGGUGCUUGCACCUGGUGGCGAGUGGCGAACGGGUGAGUAAUACAUCGGAACGUACCUUAUCGUGGGGGAUAACGCAGCGAAAGCUGUGCUAAUACCGCAUACGCCCUGAGGGGGAAAGCGGGGGAUCGCAAGACCUCGCGCGAUUAGAGCGGCCGAUGCCUGAUUAGCUUGUUGGUGGGGUAAAAGCCCACCAAGGCGACGAUCAGUAGCUGGUCUGAGAGGACGAUCAGCAACGCUGGGACUGAGACACGGCCCAGACUCCUACGGGAGGCAGCAGUGGGGAAUUUUUGACAAGGGGGGCAACCCUGAUCCAGCAAUGCCGCGUGAGUGAAGAAGGCCUUCGGGUUGUAAAGCUCUUUUGUCAGGGAAGAAACACCGGCUCUAACACAGUCCGGGAAUGACGGUACCCUGCGAAUAAGCCACGGCUAACUACGUGCCAGCAGCCGCGGUAA